UACGUAGGGAGCGAGCGUUGUCCGGAAUUACUGGGCGUAAAGGGCGCGUAGGCGGGAACUUAAGUUAGAUGUGAAAACUCCGGGCUUAACCUGGAGACUGCAUUUAAAACUGGGUUUCUUGAGGGCAGGAGAGGAAAGUGGAAUUCCUAGUGUAGCGGUGAAAUGCGUAGAUAUUAGGAGGAACACCAGUGGCGAAGGCGACUUUCUGGACUGUACCUGACGCUGAGGCGCGAAAGCAUGGGGAGCGAACAGG
rnacentral:rRNA from 1 species